rnacentral:lncRNA from 1 species
UUCACGUCGUCGGCGGGGUAGAACUUGGGCUCGGCGACCGCGGCGGGCUUCUCGGCCUUGGGGAAGGCGCCGCCAUGCUUGGCCUUGAUUGCCCACAGCCCACGGCGGUGGUACGCGUGCGACCGCGAGGCCUUCUUGAUGCCCAUCGACAGCUUAGACGACGGCGCCAUUGGAUCGUCUCGCGGCGCGGCGGCAGCGGGGCGGCGGCGGCGGCGGCGGCAGGGAGUGGAGGCGGAGGUGGAAGAG